CCUGAGAAACGGCUACCACAUCCAAGGAAGGCAGCAGGCGCGCAAAUUACCCACUCCCGGCACGGGGAGGUAGUGACGAAAAAUAACGAUACGGGACUCUUACGAGGCCUCGUAAUCGGAAUGAGUACACUUUAAAUAUUUUAACGAGGAACAAUUGGAGGGCAAGUCUGGUGCCAGCAGCCGCGGUAAUUCCAGCUCCAAUAGCGUAUACUAAAAUUGUUGCGGUUAAAAAGCUCGUAGUUGCAUUUGUGCGCCGCGCUGUCGGUGCACCGCAUCCGCGGUGAUACUGACACGUCUGCGGAGCAUAUCGUCGGUGAGCCGUCGGUCAAACGUCGGUUCAAUAUCAAAAUCCUAUCGCGGUGCUCUUCAAUGAGUGUCGAGGUGGGCCGACAAUUUUACUUUGAACAAAUUAGAGUGCUCAAAGCGGGCUCAAAAUGCUGCUUGAAUAUUUCGUGCAUGGAAUAAUAGAAUAUGAUCUCGGUUCUAUUUUGUUGGUUUUCAGAACUCCGAGGUAAUGAUUAAUAGGGAUAACUGGGGGCAUUCGUAUUGCGACGUUAGAGGUGAAAUUCUUGGAUCGUCGCAAGACGAACAUCAGCGAAAGCAUUUGCCAAAGGUGUUUUCAUCAAUCAAGAACGAAAGUUAGAGGUUCGAAGGCGAUUAGAUACCGCCCUAGUUCUAACCGUAAAUAUGUCAUCUAGCGAUCCGCCGACGUUACUACAAUGGCUCGGCGGGCAGCUUCCGGGAAACCAAAGAUUUUGGACUCCGGGGGGAGUAUGGUUGCAAAGCUGAAACUUAAAGGAAUUGACGGAAGGGCACCACCAGGAGUGGAGCCUGCGGCUUAAUUUGACUCAACACGGGAAAUCUCACCAGGCCCGGACACCGGAAGGAUUGACAGAUUAACAGCUCUUUCUUGAUUCGGUGGGUGGUGGUGCAUGGCCGUUCUUAGUUGGUGGAGCGAUUUGUCUGGUU
rnacentral:rRNA from 1 species